rnacentral:rRNA from 1 species
GACGAACGCUGGCGGCGUGCCUAAUACAUGCAAGUCGAGCGCAGGAAGCCGUCUGAACCCUUCGGGGGGACGACGGUGGAAUGAGCGGCGGACGGGUGAGUAACACGUAAAGAACCUGCCCAUAGGUCUGGGAUAACCACGAGAAAUCGGGGCUAAUACCGGAUGUGUCAUCGGACCGCAUGGUCCGAUGAUGAAAGGCGCUCCGGCGUCGCCCAUGGAUGGCUUUGCGGUGCAUUAGCUAGUUGGUGAGGUAACGGCCCACCAAGGCGACGAGGCAUAGCCGACCUGAGAGGGUGAUCGGCCACACUGGGACUGAGACACGGCCCAGACUCCUACGGGAGGCAGCAGUAGGGAAUCUUCCACAAUGGACGAGAGUCUGAUGGAGCAACGCCGCGUGAACGAUGAAGGCUUUCGGGUCGUAAAGUUCUGUUGUAAGGGAAGAACAAGUGCCGCAGGCAAUGGCGGCACCUUGACGGUACCUUGCGAGAAAGCCACGGCUAACUACGUGCCAGCCGCCGCCGUAA